CGAUCACUUCGAUGAUUAGUAAAUUGUGAUGUGAGGUUGUAUUUGAGACUUUCAAGGAUUAGUAAAUUCUGAUCCGAUCUAAUAUGUCUUAUGAAUAAAAUUGAAUAUUUUCUAAAAAGUUAUAACACUUCGUAAUCAGUAAUAUUAACACCAUAAUUACAGAAAUUCCAGCAUGGUCUGUCUUCCCUGCUUCGUUGUGCCCGUAGCUCUGCUGUUUUGGCGGUUCCUUCUGUGGCCAUUGCUUAGACCGUUGUAUAUCAGGUGGUAUAACAUUCCUGAAGAGAAGGCAACCGAGAAAAAUGGAACUGUUGAAAAAUUGGACAAGCUCGGAGAGGAUGGGUGUCCAUUUGGGUGCCCAUUGAAACCAAAAGACAAGCAGAAUGUUGACACAUCUCCGACAGAAGAGAAAAAACUAUUAUGACUUGUACGCGUUAUACACCGGACAUUCCUGAUAUGAAUUAUUUGUGUGAACAUAUACAUGUAUCAUAGCAUAAAUUUUUAAGUUUGUUGUAAAAUGUUACUGAUUUCAUUUCGCAUUCAGUUAGUCUAUAACUGAGACCUUGUUACUUUAGUUGCUCGAGAAAUAAAUUUUCUUUAAUAAUUUAGUAGCAGCAGUAGUGUAACUAGGACCUGGCAUUUGAGGGGGGAAGGGAGGGGUGUAUCUGAAUGCAGACCCCAUCACACUGGGGGUAUGGAAUUAAUCUAAAUUUAACUAAAUUAUUGAUAAGCAAAUUUUAAAUUAAAGCGUUUGACUUCUUCAUUAAAAACAAGUUCACUUGUUAUACCAAUAUGUAUAACAGUAUCAGAGUGAUAUUGAUACCUCACGUUUUCAUUGCAAAAUAUCAUAAUAAAUAAAAUAUGCAUGAAUUUAUUCCUGCUUCAAAUCAUGUUUAUUUUAAGUUAUAUUGAUUAAUUCUAGCAGCCACCAAAUAUUUUUUUUUUUUUAAUUUUCAUCACUUUUUUCCAUUACGGUGAGUGGUAUGUUAGCAAUAUAUUUAAGCGAGAUUCCCUAUAGAAAAAGAAUGAGUCGGACAAAGAAGCGAACUAUCCAAAGCACCACCAUCCAAUUCAUGGAAUAUUAAUUUAAUUUUGUGGGGCUCUGUUAAUGGGAAAAACAGUAUUACAUUUAAAUAUAAACCAUUAUUAUUAUAGGUAAUCAUACAUUUAUGAUUUCUUAGCUUCAAUUCACUAUAAUCGUAAGUUCCGGAGCAAAACAUUUUUUGAUUUGAGAUGAGAUCCUAUUCAUAAUAUAGUUUAAAUUUAAGUCCCAUAUUACAGAUGAAGCCUCAAAUAACCUGUUUGUCCUCAUGAUUAAUAAUAUUCUAAAGAACAUUGGUCUUGGCUAGUAAUUGGACGAGGAUCUAAAGUAUUCAUCGCAUUAUUAGUAACAUAGUUUUUAAGAAGUCAACCCAAUCAAAUUCUUUUAAAUUUUAAUAAGAAAUCAUUGUGAUUUUUUUACGGGUAUUUAUUGUAUUUUAAUCGCAACUGAAAUGAGUACCAAAUUGAUAUAAUAUUGUAAAUACCAUUUUUUUUUUUUAUAUUUAAGAUAUUGUUGCUCAGUUAUAAUAUCCAGUGUUUAUUUAAUUAAGUUCUGUUCGUGUUAUUGUGAUAAGUAUUAAUAAAACUGAUAUAAGUAA